UACGUAGGGGGCGAGCGUUGUCCGGAAUCAUUGGGCGUAAAACGCGUGUAGGCGGUCCGGUAAGUCCGCUGUGAAAGUCGGGGGCUCAACCCUCGGAUGCCGGUGGAUACUGUCGGGCUUGAGUACGGAAGAGGCGAGUGGAAUUCCUGGUGUAGCGGUGAAAUGCGCAGAUAUCAGGAGGAACACCAAUUGCGAAGGCAGCUCGCUGGGACGUUACUGACGCUGAGACGCGAAAGCGUGGGGAGCAAACAGG
rnacentral:rRNA from 1 species